rnacentral:rRNA from 1 species
UGGGGAAUUUUGCGCAAUGGAGGCAACUCUGACGCAGCAACGCCGCGUGCGGGAUGAAGGCCCUCGGGUUGUAAACCGCUUUCAGCAGGGAAGACUCCGACUGUACCUGCAUAAGAAGCCCCGGCUAACUACGUGCAAGCAGCCGCGGUAAUACGUAGGGGGCGAGCGUUAUCCGGAUUCAUUGGGCGUAAAGCGCGCGUAGGCGGCUCGCCAAGCGGGAUCUCAAACCUGAGGGCUCAACCCCCAGCAGGAUCCCGGACUGGCGGGCUCGAGUUCGGUAGGGGAAGGCGGAACUCCCAGUGUAGCGGUGAAAUGCGCAGAUAUUGGGAGGAACACCGAUGGCGAAGGCAGCCUUCUGGGCCGCAACUGACGCUGAGGUGCGAAAGCUAGGGGAGCGAACAGG